AGUCCUUCCGUGUUGUUCCGAUUUUUUCCGAGCUCGCGCGCAGGCCCCACGACAGAACUGCGCGUUCUCUUCGCUUCUUGCUCAUUUUUCUCAGCUCCAGACCGCGUUUCCACCAUGGUGGACGUCAUGCUGCUGAUGUUCUUCGCCAUCAUGGGCCUCGUCUUCCUCUCCUACAUCAUCUACAUGCUGUGAGGAGGCGCACCAGCGGCUGCACAGGAGAAGCAGCACCCGCUCCUCCUGCAUUCCGUUUCCAUCAUGAUGCAAGGAUCAGAUUCAAGCCAUGAUGACACAAAUCCCAGUCCUCAGAUGGGAACUAAAGGGGGUUCAGAGGAAGUCCAACCCUCCUCAUCAUCACUGCCCUUCUCUCUUUCAUCAGCCUGAAUAUGAACCCUCCAACAGAACUCCGCGCUACAACUGAACAGUAUUCUGUCCUGGCUGCUUGUAUGGAAGUUGGGCGUUUUUUUCUUUAUUUUUUGUAGUUUACAAUUCCUUUAGCCAGAUGUGAAAGACAAUAAUAUUUUGUUGAUGUGCAAUAUUCUGACUCCAAAUAAUCCUACUUCAUUCAAGCGACAGAUUUCUUUUGGCCUUUAUGUAUUGUAGUUGUCAUUUUGCUGCAAAGUCAUCAUAAAAUAUUAGACAUUGGAGGCCCACUCCAAUCAUCUUUUGAUCUUACAAAAGUGUUCCCCGUGGUCUUUCAAUUAUUAUGAAGUUUUUAGCCAAAAUAAAAAAAUAAUUGUCAUUUUCUAGGACAUAGUUUCUGUAGGGUGGCAGGAGUUCAUUCGAAGUUGCUGUCUGAGUUGGUGUGGAGAAACCCCACCCCCCUUUCCCGUCACCCUAGCUUAUGCCAGCUCAGGCGAGGGCAACGAUGACAAACUCUUUGUCCACUAGUGGAUCCAUCAGAAUGGAGCAGAGCAGGGAGAUUGUGGCCUGACCCCGGUGUAUUUUCCACAUCACAAAUACGCUCUUUUUCAAAAGGCUUUUUUUUGUCUGCUCCUGCUUCACAACAAUUUGAAUAAAGAAACACUCAGAAAUGCAAUUUUAAGCUUAAUUUUUUCCAUCCAUGUUCUCAAUCAUCACAAAAAAACUCCACAACAUGUCAAAAACACCCAAAACACAACUUUCAUUAGAGUUGGUCUUUAGUAUUACAGCUUUAUGUAUACAAAAUAUCUUUGAUAUGUCAGUUCAACUACAAAUAAAUAAAAUCUGUUUUUACGUUUCUUUGCACUUAAAAUGAACUGAAAAUAUUUCACACUCUGCCACAAAAUAUACUUAAUGAGCCAUUUUGGUUUUGACUUGGUUUUUUUUGUACUGUAAAAUAAAGCUUUAUUUACAAAAAUCUGUGGCACAGAAAGACUGAGUUUUGCAUGUAACUGUCCGCUGCAGAUGUAUAGUCCAGUUCGUGUAAACCUUUAUUAAACAGACUCUUAAGUAUGACA